GGGGCUGCUUUGGUUUUGACAGCAAGCGUAUGGCGAGGUAAGCAUGCCGGUCCAGGCAUCACACACCGUAAUCUGGGAUGCAAAACAUCAAAUGGCGAAACAACUUUCGCGCUUGCAGCUUAAUCCUUUGAUAAAGGGUUGGCAUUAACGCGGUACCAGGUACUGCGUCAGGCCGUUCUGCCGGUUGGCUGCCCUACCCGGCCGGAUCACAGGACGCAUCAUCUGCAGGGAUAGUUGCAACAUUGUUCCGUUGCUGCAACGAAAAACAGGAACUAAGGUAUGGCUCGGCUUCUGUUUGCCAGGCCCUGCCCUACAAUCAAUAAACAGAUAAGCAUGUAGAAAGCACCGUUAUUCCUUGUUUGGACGAGGGUUCGAAUCCCUCCAGCUCCACCU
rnacentral:tmRNA from 1 species